AUUGAACGCUGGCGGCAGGCUUAACACAUGCAAGUCGAGCGAGCGGCGGACGGGUGAGUAAUGUCUGGGAAACUGCCUGAUGGAGGGGGAUAACGACUGGAAACGGUAGAUAAUACCGCAUACCAUCAGAUGUUCCCAGAUGGGUUUAGCUAGUAGGUGGGGUAAUGGCUCACCUAGGCGACGAUCCCUAGCUGGUCUGAGAGGAUGACCAGCCAGCCUGGAAGGGAGACACGGUCCAGACUCCUACGGUAGGCGGCAGUGGGGCAUAUUGCACAAGGGGCGCAAGCCUGAUGCCGCCAUGCCGCGUGUGUGAAGAAGGCCUUCGGGUUGUAAAGCACGUUCAGCGAGGAGGCGUUACUCACAGAAGAAGCGCCGGCUAACUCCGUGCCAGCAGCCGCGGUAAUAC
rnacentral:rRNA from 1 species